rnacentral:hammerhead_ribozyme from 1 species
AUCCAGCUGACAAGUCCCGAAUAGGACGAAACAUGCGUCCUGGAU